AAGUGAAAUGAUGGCAAAUCAUCUUUCGGGACUGACCUGAAAUGAAGAGAAUACUCUUGCUGAUCGCUU
rnacentral:snoRNA from 1 species